AAGUCCCGCAACGAGCGCAACCCUUAUCCUUAGUUGCCAGCGAUUCGGUCGGGAACUCUAAGGAGACUGCCGGUGACAAACCGGAGGAAGGUGGGGACGACGUCAAGUCAUCAUGGCCCUUACGGGAUGGGCUACACACGUGCUACAAUGGCAGGUACAAAGAGUUGCGAACUCGCGAGAGUAAGCGGAUCUCAUAAAGCCUGUCGUAGUCCGGAUUGGAGUCUGCAACUCGACUCCAUGAAGUCGGAAUCGCUAGUAAUCGUAGAUCAGAAUGCUACGGUGAAUACGUUCCCGGGCCUU
rnacentral:rRNA from 1 species